CUCGAAUUGGAUUCUUUCUAUUUCGAUAUCGAAAAUAUACUUACGAAGUUGUUCCAACUUAUUGAUUAGUACUAACCCUAGAUUCUUGCCCCUAAGAAAGAAUCCAAUUCGAGCAAGUUUAAAAUCCAAGAAAAAGUUUGUUGGAAUUACCAAAAUUCUUUUGAUUAAAAAAUAAAGUGUAUCACGCAGGAAUCAAUCGUUAGUCCGAUUCUUUGAUAGAAAAAAAAUCACAAAAAGUGGUAUGUUGCUGCCAUUUUGAAACGAUUAAAGAUCACCGAAGUAAUGUCUAAACCCAACGAUUCAAGGCAAACAUAAAGGAUCCUGGAACAAGUAAAUACCGUUUUCAAUUGUCUCAACAAUUAGAUUAGAAUGAAGAAUCAAAAAUAGAUUAUAAAAGAAAGAAACAAAAAUAAAGGGGAUUAGAGAUCACUCAAUAAAUGAAAUGCCUAAAGGGUUCCCUUUGAGCUAUUUGAAAGUUAUCUAACUUGAGUUAGGAGGGUACAGAUGAUUUUUUUCUUUUUUGGUAAACAAAAAUAAGAAGAAAAGGGACUUAAAUCAUAGUUUAAUUGAUUUGAUGAUUUUAUGGAUCUAUUUGACACUAUAAUUCUAUACAUAUAUAGAACUUCGAAUCAUUUUUCUCGAG
rnacentral:misc_RNA from 1 species